UUACUUUUGUAAAAUACAAAAAAUAACGGCUAUAAGAAUAGCAUUUUACUUUUUUAACAGAAUGAAAUAAUACAAAAUAAAAUUCAAAAAAAAGCAGUUAUGCUACAUAUGUUAGAGCUAUUUUGGCACUUGCAUAAUAUGUUGUAAAUAGUAUAAAAUAAAAAAGGAAACCGCACAUACAUAAAUAAGGACAUAUAUAUAUAUAUAUAUAUACAUUGCAACUAUAUUUAUAUAUAAUACAUAGUUAGGUUUAUUCCGUGAAAGAAAAAAGGAAAAAAAAAUUGAUAGAUACUUUGAAGCUUUCUUGUUUACAAAUUAAAAAACAUUACUUAAUAAAAUAUAUUAUUGUUUGUUUAUGUGUAGUAGUAAAUAUUAUCUUUAUGAACUUAUUACUUUUGUUUUUUCUAGCCUUUUUUUAGCUAUUUUUUUUAGGUUUUUUUUUUUUGUGCAUAUACCAUAAGUUAUCGUUUUAUUUUAUUAUUUUUUUUUUUUUUUGUUUUUACUUAAAAGAAAAGUAUAGGCUGUUAAAAUAUUGAUAUACAACUUUUGACAAACAUACUUCUAGAUUACUUUAAAAUAUAAUGACUAAAAAAAAUGAAUGUAAGAUAGUAAUAAAAUUAUUUUUCAUAUAUAUAACUGCUUUUAAUUACAUAAGUAAAGCAUAUAUAAUAAGUAAUAUUUUUAACAAUGAAAUAAUAAACAAACAUUGUUAUAAUAAUAAUAAUAAGGAUCAUACAAUAUUUCAUAAAAGACAUGUUUUAACUUUAAAAUUAAACAGUACAGCGUUGUCACCAACGCAUACUACCAGCAGUUUAUGGAAUAACAAAACAACAGAUAGUGGUGUAAAUAAAAAUGUAAAACUUAAAAAAAAAGAUAAAAAAAUAUUAAAAAAAUAUAAAGACUUUUUAGAUAUGUUACCAAACAGAAACGUGGAAUAUGGGAUUAUUGAUGCAAUCGAAAAAAUAAAAACAUUAGCUAUUCAUAAAUUUGUUGAAAGUAUAGAUAUUUAUUUAUCAUUUAAUAAAAAAAAAUCUAAAAUGACAAAAAAUGAUAAUAUAAAAACAUUUAUAACAUUUCCUCACAAUUUAAAAAAAAAAAGAAAAAAAAUAAUAUACGUUGUAACAAAUAAAAAUCUCUAUAAAGCUGCUACUGAAUCAGGGGCUGAUGUUGUAGGAGAAGAUGACUUAAUAAAUAAAAUAAAAGAAAAAGAAAUACGAUUAAAAAAAAAAAAUAAUAACUUUUUGUUAUGUACAAACGAUGUAAUACAUAAAUUAACACGCGUUGGUAAGGAGGUAGGAAGUAAAGGACUAAUGCCAAAUGAAAAAUGUGGCACAUUAGUUAGUGAAUAUACAUUAGAAAAACAUGUUAAAAUGUUCAAAUUUGAAAAUACACUUAUAUUUAAAUUAAAUAAAUUAAAUACUUUAAAUUUAAAUGUUGGAGAUGUAUACAUGUCGAACGAUGAUAUUAAAGAAAAUAUUUGUCAUUUGUUUGAAUUUUUAGAUAAUUUAGAAUUCUUUCAUUUUAAUUAUAAAAAUUUAAAAUCUAUUUAUUUGGGUAGCACUAUGGGAUUUCCUUUUAAAAUUAAGAAAAAUUUCUAUUAAAACAGACAUUAAACAUUCAGUAUGUAUAUAUAUAUAUAUAUAUAUAUAUACAUGCACUGACGCACAUAUACAAAAAUACAGCAAUGUGUAUAUUAAGAAUUUCAUAUUUUUAGUAUAUGUAAAUUAUUUGAUUUUAUAAUGAAUCUUUUUAAAAAAUAUGUCCUUUUUUUUUUUUUUUUUUUUUUUUUUUGUUUAUAAUUUUAUAAAAAUUAUUUCAAGUACAACUGAACGUAAAUACAUGUAAUUUUUUUUUUUUUUUUUCAUCUUUUUUAAAAACCAUAUAAAAUUAGAAAAAAAAAAUAACAAAAUAAAAGAUAGAAUAAUGUUUUUUCUUUUAUAAAU
ensembl:lncRNA